rnacentral:rRNA from 1 species
AUAAAGUCGAAUAUUACGAACCACAGUUUAAAAUUCAAAGAUCUUGGCGGUGUCUUAUAAAACCAGGGGAACCUGUCUCAUAACUCGAUAAUCCACGAUUACCCAACCUCUUUUCGAAUUACAGCUUGUGUACUGCCGUUGUAAGCAUACCUUUAAAAGAAUAAGUGUGCCACUAUGAUCAAUUUAAACAAUUAGCUCAAAUACAUCAGGUCAAAGUGCAGUAAAUAAAGAGGUGAUGAUGGGUUACAACCUAAAAAAAGACAUAUAGACUAAAAUAUAAAAAAUUUUAUAAAAGUGGACUUGGCUGUAAUAAAUUAAUAUAACAAAAAAAUGAAUAAAUAUCUAAGACAUGUACACAUCGCCCG